rnacentral:rRNA from 1 species
AGUGGCGGACGGGUGAGUAACGCGUGAGAAUCUGCCUUGGGGUCGGGGACAACCACUGGAAACGGUGGCUAAUACCGGAUACGCCUUCGGGUAAAAGAUUUAUUGCCCUAAGAGGAGCUCGCGUCUGAUUAGCUAGUUGGUGAGGUAAGAGCUCACCAAGGCAGCGAUCAGUAGCUGGUCUGAGAGGACGAUCAGCCACACUGGGACUGAGACACGGCCCAGACUCCUACGGGAGGCAGCAGUGGGGAAUUUUCCGCAAUGGGCGAAAGCUGACGGAGCAAGACCGCGUGAGGGAGGAAGGCUCUUGGGUUGUAAACCUCUUUUCUCAGGGAAGAAGCUCUGACGGUACCUGAGGAAUCAGCCUCGGCUAACUCCGUGCCAGCAGCCGCGGUAAUACGGAGGAGGCAAGCGUUAUCCGGAAUUAUUGGGCGUAAAGCGUCCGCAGGUGGCGAUUCAAGUCUGCUGUCAAAGCACGGGGCUUAACUCCGUAAAGGCAGUGGAAACUGAAUAGCUAGAGUGCCGUAGGGGUAGAGGGAAUUCCCGGUGUAGCGGUGAAAUGCGUAGAGAUCGGGAAGAACAUCGGUGGCGAAAGCGCUCUACUGGACGGCAACUGACACUCAGGGACGAAAGCUAGGGGAGCGAAUGGGAUUAGAUACCCC